UUCCAUAGGAGGCCUACACACCACUGUUUGUGCCACCGCCAUGUCUCUGGUGAUCCCUGAGAAGUUCCAGCACAUCUUGCGGGUACUCAACAUCAACAUCAAUGGGCAGCUGAAAAUAGCCUUUGCCAGAUAUGCUCAUGUGGUGUUGAGGAAAGCAGACAUUGAUCUCACCAAGAGGGCAGGAGAACUCACCAAGAAUGAGGUGGACGUGUGAUCACCAUUAUGCAGAAUCCUCUCCAGUACAAGAUCCCAGACUGGUUCUUAAACAGACAGAAAGAUGUAAAGGAUGGAAAAUACAGCCAGGUCUUGGCCAAUGCUCUAGACAGCAAACUCCGUGAAGAUCUGGAGCGACUGAAGAAGAUUCGGGCCCAUAGAGGGCUGAGCCACUUCUGGGGCCUUCAUGUUUGAGGCCAGCACACAAAGACCACUGGGUGUCGAGGUUGUAUCAUGGGUGUAUUUAGAAGAAAUAAAGUCUUGGAAUAUGGUUACUGUACUUCCAGAAUUCAGAUCGGUGUUUCAAGCCCUCAGAAGGAAGCAGGAGAAAAAAGAGCAGAUGUCUACUCAGGAGACAGCGACGUAAGCUUUCCUCUCAUUGACCAGAAUUAG